rnacentral:rRNA from 1 species
GACGAACGCUGGCGGCGUGCUUAACACAUGCAAGUCGAACGGAGUGGCGAACGGGUGAGUAAUACCUAGGAAUCUGACUGGUAGUGGGGGAUAACGUUCGGAAACGGACGCUAAUACCGCAUACUAUCAUAUCAGACUAGGUCGGAUUAGCUAGUUGGUAAGGGAAUGGCUCACAAAGGCUACGAUCCGUACCUGGUCUGAGAGGAUGAUCAGUCACACUGGAACUGAGACACGGUCCAGACUCCUACGGGAGGCAGCAGUGGGGAAGAUUGCACAAUGGGCGAAAGCCUGAUCCAGCCAUGCCGCGUGUGUGAAGAAGGUCUUCGGAUUGUAAAGCACUUUAAGUAGGGAAGCGUUACCGACAGAAUAAGCACCGGCUAACUCCGUGCCAGCAGCCGCGGUAAUAC